rnacentral:rRNA from 1 species
GAUGAACGCUGGCGGCGUGCUCAACACAUGCAAGUCGAACGAAGCACUCAGAUCUCUUCGGAGUGAUGAGUGACUGAGUGGCGGAUGGGUGAGUAACGCGUGGGUAACCUGCAUUGUACAGGGGGACAACCGUCGGAAACGACUGCUAAUCACGCAUAAGCGCACAGCUUCGCACGAAGCAGUGUGACAAGCUGAGGCGGUACAAGAUGGACCCGCGUUGGAUUAGCUAGUUGGUGGGGUAACGGCCUACCAAGACGACGAUCCAUAGCCGAACUGAGAGGGUGACCGGCCACAUUGGGACUGAGACACGGCCCAAACGCCUACGGGAGGCAGCAGUGAGGAAGAUUGCACAAUGGGCGAAAGCCUGAGGCAGCGACGCCGCGUGAGCGAUGAAGUAUUUCGGUAUGUAAAGCUCUAUCAGCAGGGAAGAAAAUGACGGUACCUGACUAAGAAGCUCCGGCUAAAUACGUGCCAGCAGCCGCGGUAAAAC